GGAGCUGUGGCUCACCAGGUUAAAGCCCUGGCUUGAAGUGCCAGCAUUCCAUAAGCAUGCCGGUUCUAAUCCCGGCUGCUCCU
rnacentral:tRNA from 1 species